UACGGGGGAUGCAAGCGUUAUCCGGAUUUAUUGGGUUUAAAGGGUGCGUAGGCUGUGAGGUAAGUCAGCGGUGAAAUGCCCCCGCUCAACGGGGUGAAGUGCCAUUGAUACUGCCUUGCUGGAAUGCGGAUGCCGUGGGAGGAAUGUGUGGUGUAGCGGUGAAAUGCAUAGAUAUCACACAGAACACCGAUUGCGAAGGCAUCUCACGAAUCCGCGAUUGACGCUGAUGCACGAAAGCGUGGGGAGCAAACAGG
rnacentral:rRNA from 1 species